rnacentral:rRNA from 1 species
UACGUAGGGGGCAAGCGUUGUCCGGAAUCAUUGGGCGUAAAGCGCGUGUAGGCGGCUUGGUAAGUCCGCUCUGAAAGCCCGGGGCUCAACUCCGGAACUGCCUUUAAGACUGCAUCGCUUGAAUCCAGGAGAGGUGAGUGGAAUUCCGAGUGUAGAGGUGAAAUUCGUAGAUAUUCGGAAGAACACCAGUGGCGAAGGCGGCUCACUGGACUGGUAUUGACGCUGAGGUGCGAAAGCGUGGGGAGCAAACAGG